GUUUGUUAUCCAAGCUGAGCUCACACAAAUUAAUGAGGAGCAGGAAUGAGUAAAGCCAAGGGCUGUUGCUGGCAAACACUCUGGGGGCCUCGUCCCUUCCUCCUGUAAGAACAACCCCAGAUUACCCCCAACAAUAAAACCUGUUAACUUAUACAACUUUGCUUAAGAAACAAGCCUGAUGGGAUGUUGGCAGACUUCCCUGCUGCCAAGCAAGAACUAUUGCGGGCAGCCGCGAGCUUCUCAGGAUUUAAGCCCGUGAUGGAAUGUGAUGUUUUGUUUUCUUUUUCCCAAACCCUUUUGACUUUGGUCCAAACAGCCUCACUGCAAUUCACCUUGAAAGUAGAGCAAAUAGAAACUCAGAGUGAAAUCAGACCACCACAGCACCCAACAACACCGUUGAAACAUGUGAGCCCUCCCACGCGAACCACAACAGAUGAACUUGGCGAAGGUUGGCAUCCUAUUAAUGGAGAAGGCGAGACCAGACCAUCUUCUGCCUAGAGCAGAGUUAUGCUUUUCAAUAAGGCAGCCAGCUCAGGGCUGCAGCUCCUCUCUGCUUCCCCACUGUAAGAAUAAGAGAAAGGCUCCUUGGAACUGGAUAUCUAAAAGUUUCUUGGAACUUUGAUGAGGUAGUUUCUAGAAGCAGCUGUUUAACUUCAGCAAUUUCUUGGUGCCUCCUUGCCCAUACCAUGACUACUGGGUUGCCCUAAAAGCUGUUCCAAGAAUUGGGGAGAAAAUAAAACUAAACAGAAAGACCCUGAAACGUAUCAAGGAACUUAGCACUUUAUGAUAUUUUAGCAAAAUAAGUUGAGGAGCUUACAACAGAUAGAAACCAAGUUGUUUAUCUUGAAACAAUAUCAGCCUCGCUUGGGAACAGUGCCCCAAUAUUCCUGGGCCUGCUCCGGGGCUCAAAAUGUGGGCAACCAAAGCACUGAAGAAUUGGGUAAUGCCGUCCCACAUAUAGAACCUCUCCUGGAUGCCCAGCAUGGGCU
ensembl:lncRNA